UGAACAGAAGCUAUUAUUUCUUCGCGCCUGACUGUUACUCAGGAGAUAGUCACACUAUGACCUGUUCAU
rnacentral:tRNA from 1 species